CCUACGGGCUGCAGCAGUGGGGAAUAUUGCACAAUGGGCGCAAGCCUGAUGCAGCCAUGCCGCGUGUAUGAAGAAGGCCUUCGGGUUGUAAAGUACUUUCAGCGGGGAGGAAGGUGUUGUGGUUAAUAACCGCAGCAAUUGACGCUACCCGCAGAAGAAGCACCGGCUAACUCCGUGCCAGCAGCCGCGGUAAUACGGAGGGUGCAAGCGUUAGUCGGAAUUACUGGGCGUAAAGCGCACGCAGGCGGUCUGUCAAGUCGGAUGUGAAAUCCCCGGGCUCAACCUCGGAAUUGCAUUUGAAACUGGCAGGCUAGAGUCUUGUAGAGGGGGGUAGAAUUUCAGGUGUAGCGGUGAAAUGCGUAGAGAUCUGAAGGAAUACCAGUGGCGAAGGCGGCCCCCUGGACAAAGACUGACGCUCAGAUGCGAAAGCGUGGGGAGCAAACAGGAUUAGAUACCCGGGUAGUC
rnacentral:rRNA from 1 species